rnacentral:rRNA from 1 species
UGAGGAAUAUUGGACAAUGGAUGGAAAUCUGAUCCAGCCAUGCCGCGUGCAGGAAGACUGCCCUACGGGUUGUAAACUUCUUUUGUACAGGAAUAAAAGACAUUACGUGUAGUGUAUUGCAUGUACUGUACGAAUAAGCAUCGGCUAACUCCGUGCCAGCAGCCGCGGUAAUACGGAGGAUGCGAGCGUUAUCCGGAUUUAUUGGGUUUAAAGGGUGCGCAGGCGGGAUUUUAAGUCAGCGGUGAAAUUUUCAGGCUCAACCUGAACACUGCCGUUGAAACUGGGAUUCUUGAGUAUGGAUGAAGUAGGCGGAAUUCGUUGUGUAGCGGUGACAUGCUUAGAUAUAACGAGGAACUCCGAUUGCGUAGGCAGCUUACUAAGCCAUAACUGACGCUCAAGCACGAAAGCGUGGGGAUCAAACA